GUGGCGAACGGGUGAGUAAUGCGUGACCGACCCUCGCCCCACUACACCGGAAUAGCUUCUGGAAACGGGUGGUAAUGCCGGAUGCUCCAGUUGAUCGCAUGGUCUUCUGGGAAAGCUUUCGCGGUAUGGGAUGGGGUCGCGUCCUAUCAGCUUGACGGCGGGGUAACGGCCCACCGUGGCUUCGACGGGUAGCCGGCCUGAGAGGGCGACCGGCCACAUUGGGACUGAGAUACGGCCCAGACUCCUACGGGAGGCAGCAUG
rnacentral:rRNA from 1 species